rnacentral:rRNA from 1 species
UACGAAGGGGGCUAGCGUUGUUCGGAAUUACUGGGCGUAAAGCGCGCGCAGGCGGUUCUUCAAGUCAGAGGUGAAAGCCCAGAGCUCAACUCUGGAAUGGCCUUUGAGACUAGAGAACUAGGGUACGGGAGAGGUGAGUGGAAUUCCGAGUGUAGAGGUGAAAUUCGUAGAUAUUAGGAAGAACACCAGUGGCGAAGGCGGCUCACUGGCCCGGUACUGACGCUGAGGCACGAAGGUCAGGGGAGCAAACGGG